rnacentral:rRNA from 1 species
CGGUUGAUCCUGCCGGAGGCCAUUGCUAUCGGAGUCCGAUUUAGCCAUGCUAGUCGUGCGAGUUCAGACUCGCGGCACCGAGCUCAGCAACACGUGGCCAAACUACCCUACAGAGACGGAUACCCUCGGGAAACUGAGGUUAACCCGUCAUACCGAUCUCAGGCUUGAAUCGCAGAGAUCACAAAAUGCCCCGGCGCUGUAGGAUGUGGCUGCGGUUGAUUAGGUAGACGGUGGGGUAACGGCCCACCGUGCCAGUAAUCGGUACGGGUGAUGAGAGUCAGAGCCCGGAGACGGUAUCUGAGACAAGAUACCGGGCCCUACGGGGCGCAGCAGGCGCGAAGCCUUUACACUGCACGACAGUGCGAUAGGGGGAUUCCGAGUGCGAGGGCAUACAGUCCUCGCUUUUCUGGAUCGUAAGGAGAUGCAAGAAUAAGGGCUGGGCAAGACCGGUGCCAGCCGCCGCGGUAAUACCGGCAGCCCGAGUGAUGGCCGAUGUUAUUGGGCCUAAAGCGUUCGUAGCCGGCCAGUCAAGUCUGUUGGGAAAUCCACGCGCUCAACGCGUGGGCGUCCAGCGGAAACUGACUGGCUUGGGGCCGGAGGACUUGAGGGGUACGUCCGGGGUAGGAGUGAAAUCCCGUAAUCCUGGACGGACCACCGGUGGCGAAAGCGCCUCGAGAGGACGGACCCGACGGUGAGGAACGAAAGCCAGGGUCUCGAACCGGAUUAGAUACCCGGGUAGUC